CAGCACCUCAAGUGGUCAGGAUGAUUAUUGGGCCUAAAGCAUCCGUAGCCGGCUCUGUAAGUUUUCGGUUAAAUCUGUACGCUCAACGUACAGGCUGCCGGGAAUACUGCAGAGCUAGGGAGUGGGAGAGGUAGACGGUACUCGGUAGGAAGGGGUAAAAUCCUUUGAUCUAUUGAUGACCACCUGUGGCGGAGGCGGUCUACCAGAACACGUCCGACGGUGAGGGAUGAAAGCUGGGGGAGCAAACCGGAUUAGAUACCCGCGUAGUCC
rnacentral:rRNA from 1 species